CCCAAGGAGCUACAAGGGGACUCGGAGAGCUGCUCACACCUGGGGUAAGCCAGCUGGCACCCUGCGGGCAUGCUGGUGGCUCCCCAGGCCGCUGGGGUGUCACUGUCCCCUCCAGACAGCGGGGGCAGGCAGUGGCAAUUUUAUCAAGCAGUGACCUUACCAUUGAAUUUAUGCCUCUGAAGAUCCCACAAUACCUCCUUCACCCUGCUGGUGACCUGAUUGAUGGCGUAGCGUGGCCGCCUGUGGGGAGCGUGUUUAUUCAACUAACGCUGACCCUCUCUAUCAAACAUUAUUCCCCUUCUAGUUUAAUUAAAACACAAUUAGCAGGGCUCUCAAUUCCGUUAAAUAUGCACAAGCUUCUACUAAAUUACUAUUAAUCUCUGUUCAAUGUGCAAGUCAGUUAAGUGACAUGUGGAAAAUUACACGUUACUGACUCAGGAAUGCAGCUUGGAGGAUGACUUCAUGUUCCUGAAUGAAAAUAUCGGCGUGCCAGAUGUGCCUAGCGCCUGACCCCUUUAGAGGCUCUGAAAGAUCACACGUAGCUUUAAAAUGUAAUUUCAUGCAUGCAGAAGGAAGAAAGAGAGCCUAAUAGCUUUAUGGGACUUAGCUCUCCGUUUAAUUUAGUUAGGGCGGUGUGAACGUCUUCAUAACAUGAAGCAGAGCUCUGAUCCCUGCUCUGCCUGAGUGUUUCCAAUAGACACCCUAAUGCCUUUCUCAUGGUCAAGGGCUAACAAGCUGUAUUUGCUCGCUAUUAGUGAGAGGUUGUACUUCUUUCUUCGUUAGGCAACGAGUUUCACAGUGGCACUGACGAGUAUGCAGUCCUUGCUUUGAGUCAUUGACUUCUUCACGAAUUGUUUUAUUGGGAGAUACAAGCAACAGAUGGUGUUGCCAGACAGAGCUGGAUUUGGAAAGCAGCCAUUCACGAAUGUUUUCUUUGACAAAACCCAAAGGAUGUUAUUUUCCUGAAGAUGAAGCAGAAUCCGUGUAAUGGGAGCUGUAACCUAAGGAGACAAAUGAUUUUAC